GGUGGCCUAGUGGUUAGAACGUCCGCCUCAGAUGCGGGAGGUCGUGUGUUUCAACCCCGGCCGAGUCAUACCAAAAACU